UCGGCCCUCGACGAGUUGGUGCCGUCGCCCGUUCGGUCCGGGUCGGCCCGCCGGGAGCGGGCCCGGUGGGGGCUCGGCUCCUCGGGGUCGGCCCA
rnacentral:tRNA from 1 species